rnacentral:ncRNA from 1 species
ACAGUCGCGUCGGGAGAGACCGGUCUUCUGAGGUUCUGGUUGAACUUCAAGAGAUCGGCGCCGAAGGAGCAACCGCCCCGGAAACUCUCAGGCAAAAGGACCCUCGCGACUUC